GAUGAACAAGUGAAAGAGAGAACACUGCGGCUUGGUUCAAGAACCUUCAAAUUCAGCCUUAGUGUUGAAGAUGAAGACCGUGGGGUCUUCAUUCUUUUGUGAGCAUCAUGUUGGCUGUUUGCUGGAUGCACUCGUGAAUCGUGGUCUGUCGAAUACAUUGGCUACUCGGAUAUUGGUGAGAUUUUCAUGGUUUCUAGGGUUUUUAUGUCUAAAUAUGUGGAAGCUGGUGUUUUAACUUUUG